GGGCGCUCCGCCUCUUUCCCGGCGUGGGACACCCCCCCCCCCCCCCGAUGCCCCUGUCCCGGCGCGCCUGCUUGAGGAAAGAGCGCCAGAAUGCAGAACCCAACGUCUUCCAAUUAUUAUCACAAUGAAUUAUCCUGUGCAGACCAAGAUAGAAACCAAUCUGUUUGUAUUACAUGAUAUGAUAGUUAUAUAUUUUCUUUUAAAAAGCAAACAGACCUCAGUUCGCUCCACUGCAGAUCUCACCGCACCCCACCCCCCAGCUAUAUUUAUACAAGGCCCAUGGAAAGGCAUGGCAGACCUCAGAUGAAAAGAUUUAAAUCUACAUGUAUAGUUGAAUUGCUGCGUCUGAAGGAGAGCUAUUCCCAGGUCCUUGUGUUAGCUGAUGUUUAGUCUUGCUUCCCAGGAUGUUUUAAAUCUACAUGAAAACACUGGUUAAAGUCACUUAAGGACUUGAACUGCCGUGCUAUAGAUAUGGGCUGGACUGAAAGAGAAUGACUAGCUCAAAGUCACUGGGUGAGUUUCUGUGGCUGAAGGUCAACUUGAACCAGAGUCUCCCUGAUUCUUAAGCGCACUCGAGUCUAAAAACAUAUAAUUAUAUUUUAAUAAUUCUGCCUGCCCCAGCUUAAUAGAUCUGUUUUUGAUACUGAGCAAAGCAUGUAUGUAAGCACUUGCCAUUUAUGUCUUUUUAAAAUAGCUCUACAUUCCUAUCUAAAUAGUUUACUUCACUUUAAUUGGGGUCAACAGGAUGUUGGAUCCUCUCACUGCAACGGUAGGGAAUGUCUAAUUCAAACGUAAUGUAUAAAGAUUUAUGGCGGCAGAAGUCUUGGCUAAAUAAAUAAGAGCAACAGCACAAGAGAAAUGGAGGGGAGGGAGAGCUCAGAUUUGGAAGUCCUUUGACACAGUCCAAAGAUGGAAUUGUGUUUCAUGAACAGCUCAACAGCAUACCCUAUUGGCUCAUUUCUAGAGAUGCAAGAAAACAUUUGAAAAUGCAAAUUAAGCACAGAGAUGGGAGGUUUCCCCUAAAUGUGGUGCACAGAGGGGGUCACUUGCAAAGAAACGCAAAAAGGUGGGAGUGGCUGUUUUCAUCUUUCUCUUCCAGCCUUUUUCUUAAGCUUAUUGAGAAUGUAGACUCCACCACACUUCUUUCUGUCCUGUUGGGGAUAACCAAACCUACACUAACAAAGUUUUCAUCCGCCUCUCCUUUCUUGUGGAAUUAAGUGUAACUUUAAUGUUUUCAAAAUUCUAAUGCUUUAGCAGCUCACUCAACAUAUAUCCACUUUUGGAAUUUUACAGACAAAUUUUAGGAUUUUGGGAAAUUCAAAUCAUGUGUGAACUGACUUCAAGCUAAUCUGGAAACACUAAACUCCCCUAAAUAGACAGCAAACAUCUGAACAAUUGCUAUUGGAUUUAUGCAACCUAGAUAAUUCUAGCUUGCUUCUUUAGAGAUUCCUGGUAGAUGUUUUAAGCAAACUCUGUCUAGCUAGUUUCCUCACUAAAGUUGCUUUUUAAGGCUUGAUUAUUCCAUUAUCUUUGGCAAUUGAAGAUGCAAAUGUGUACAGCAAAAUAUAAAAGAUCAUCAAAAGAUCUCAUACAGGGCAAUGUUUACUUUCUGAAUGGAUCUAGAGAAGGAUGGAGGUUUAAAAGAAGUACCAAGCCUCCUCACGGGUCCAUUUUUACAAGUAUUAUUAAAAUACAAACUAAUAUAUAGUCAUAUAAGAAGUCAUAUAUAAUUCAAAAAGAGAUUUUGAAUUUGGAAAAAUUACCGAAAGGAAAUGGCUGCGAAUGCUUUGAUCAAGCUGAAAAGAUAUUGAGUUCUUUGAAAAAUAAUAAUAGAAUUGCCACGUGAAUUAAUGUUAUAAAAAUGCUUGUGAGAAAGAGACAUCAAGGAGGGAAGAAACAAAGCCGACAAAGAUUGACAUUGACUCCAGGCCUCAAUUUUUAAGUGAAUGGAUACAAAAAUAAAAUCAUAUAAAAGGUGUGGAAUCAACAGGACUGGAAAUAGCAUAGCAUUAAACAGACUAUGGUAAAUACAUUUUUAACCAUUAGAUUUUUCUAACCUUACAACAAAUGCUGCCCCCGGGACAAAGCAAUGAGAGUGCUUAGCAAGGUUUUAAAAUGUACCUAAAUGAAGCAUAUCAUACCUAAGGAAAGGGUCCCUAAAGAUUUUGGCACUCUUUUUGUGCUGCUCCACUUACGCUAAUGCUGCUAAUGCUUGGCCAUUUGUUUGCAUUAACAACUAACAGUCUUCAUGCCAGCUGGAAUUUUCAGGAAAAUUGGCAUGUAAAAAAAACACACGUAUUUUCUCCAUUUGCUGUAAACAGGGGAUGAACAGAACCUCAGGAAUCAGGAAGAAACCAUCUGGGGAGACUGGCAACAUCAACAACCCCCUCCCCAUGGCAUUAGCAGACAAG